AUCGACGUCAAUAAACUUUUUCUGAACAGUAUCUGUUCUUAUCAGCUUAAUAUCUGAUACGGUCCCUACAUGGGUCCGCGAUAUUAACGAUAUUUUUGUGACUUGGCGGGGUCCUUCCGGGCUUGCCCGGUACCUGCCAGGGUCAGCCCGACAUUGCAGUACAGUCGGGAUUGGCCUAGUUCCU